rnacentral:rRNA from 1 species
GAUGAACGCUGGCGGCGUGCUUAACACAUGCAAGUCGAACGGGAGAUGCACAGGGAAGAGAUUUCGGUCGAAUCCAGUGUAUCUUUAGUGGCGGACGGGUGAGUAACGCGUGGGUAACCUGCCAUAUACUGGGGGAUAACACUUAGAAAUAGGUGCUAAUACCGCAUAAGCGCACGGUCCCGCAUGGGACAGUGUGAAAAACUCCGGGGGUAUAUGAUGGACCCGCGUCUGAUUAGCUGGUUGGCGGGGUAACGGCCCACCAAGGCGACGAUCAGUAGCCGGCCUGAGAGGGUGGACGGCCACAUUGGGACUGAGACACGGCCCAA